UACGUAGGGGGCAAGCGUUGUCCGGAUUUAUUGGGCGUAAAGAGCGUGUAGGCGGCUUGGAAGGUCCGUUGUGAAAACUCGAGGCUCAACCUCGAGACGCCGAUGGAAACCACCUAGCUAGAGUCCGGAAGAGGAGAGUGGAAUUCCCGGUGUAGCGGUGAAAUGCGCAGAUAUCGGGAAGAACACCCGUGGCGAAGGCGGCUCUCUGGGACGGUACUGACGCUGAGACGCGAAAGCGUGGGGAGCGAACAGG
rnacentral:rRNA from 1 species